CAGUAAUGCGUUAAGCUAACCAGUACUAAUUGCUCGUGAGGCUUGACCCUAUAACUUUG
rnacentral:rRNA from 1 species